CCUACCUUUGGUUGUUAGUGGCUUACAGCCCAAGAUUUAAACUGAUGUAAAUACUGUUGUUGUGAGCAUGAUAUGGUACACAUACUUGAAAUAUUACUUGUAUUUAAGAUGAACUUGUUAAUAUGUAUAACUUUGGUCUCGUCGCUUUUUUUUUUGGCUUUUUUUUGGGGGAGAAAAUGCGGAUCCGACGUUUAUUAUCCCCCGCAACGCGUUUUCUUGUUUAUAAACUCACUCACUCACAAUUACUAUUUACUUCAUCAUAAUGCAAGAUCAAAUAUUUACAAAUUGGAAGACAAUUUGUCACAAAGCAGUAAUCACCAUUAAGAACAAACAUGCAGAAAUCGGAGGAUUAUUCGGAAUUUGUCGUGGGUAUGUAGGUGGUGUAUGUGAACAUCCCUAGUGAGGGGCCGUAGUUGACGAUGAAGCACGGGGAAGGUGGUGUCUAGGUGGUGUAUGUGAACAUCCCUAGUGAGGGGCCGUAGUAGACGAUGAAGCAAGGGGAAGGUGGUGUCUAGGUGGUGUAUGUGAACAUCCCUAGUGAGGGGCCGUAGUAGACGAUGAAGCACGGGGAAGGUGGUGUCUAGGUGGUGUAUGUGAACAUCCCUAGUGAGGGGCCGUAGUAGACGAUGAAGCACGGGGAAGGUGGUGUCUAGGUGGUGUAUGUGAACAUCCCUAGUGAGGGGCCGUAGUAGACGAUGAAGUAG